rnacentral:rRNA from 1 species
UAGGAGGCAAGCGUUAUCCGGAAUGACUGGGCGUAAAGGGUGCGUAGGUGGUUUGACAAGUUGGUAGCGUAAUUCCGGGGCUCAACUUCGGAACUACUACCAAAACUGUUGGGCUUGAGUGCAGGAGGGGCAUAUGGAAUUCCUAGUGUAGCGGUGGAAUGCGUAGAUAUUAGGAGGAACACCAGUGGCGAAGGCGAUAUGCUGGACUGUAACUGACACUGAGGCACGAAAGCGUGGGGAGCAAA